rnacentral:rRNA from 1 species
GACGAACGCUGGCGGCGUGCUUAACACAUGCAAGUCGAACGAUGAAGAAGAGCUUGCUCUUCGGAUUAGUGGCGAACGGGUGAGUAACACGUGACUAACCUGCCCCUUUCUCUGGGAUAACGCUCCGAAAGGAGUGCUAAUACCGGAUACUCACAUCGAGGCACAUGCCUUGAUGUGGAAAGUUUUUCGGAAAGGGAUGGAGUCGCGGCCUAUCAGCUUGUUGGUGAGGUAACGGCUCACCAAGGCGACGACGGGUAGCCGGCCUGAGAGGGGAACCGGCCACACUGGGACUGAGACACGGCCCAGACUCCUACGGGAGGCAGCAGUGGGGAAUAUUGCACAAUGGGCGAAAGCCUGAUGCAGCGACGCCGCGUGAGGGAUGAAGGUCUUCGGAUUGUAAACCUCUUUCAGUAGGGACGAAGCGAAAGUGACGGUACCUAAAGAAGAAGCACCGGCUAACUACGUGCCAGCCGCCGCGGUAA